GUAUGGUGCACCUGCCAGCAUGCUCUGGCAGCCAGGUGUGACCUUAAAAGUAGCACUGAAGGACCCUCACUCCCUGUGCCCCUUUUCUUCUAGAUCCUGCCUCUUCUCUCUGGGUCCCUUGUGGCCCGAGCGAACUUCUGGGACCUGAAGAGGUGGCUGUAAGAGACUCACUCCCUCUGCCAUUUAUGUCUGUUCUGUAACAAUCCCUUUGCUGCUGUGAAAUCACACAUGACGCAACUAGAGACAGAGACAAGCACACAUCCAGGUGCUACCAGGGAUGGAGAGAGGAAGAGAGGGGCAGACAACUAGCCUCUGUGCCCCAGAGCACCCCUCACUUGUGACAGUCCGAGGUAGGCACAUGCCAGCAUUCUUAUCUAAGCUCGGCACUGCCAGGUCCCCGUAUAUCCUGAGCCUCUCUCUGCAGGAAGCCGUCCUCCAGUUCAUUUCCUAUUGUGAUGCCUGGCAAAGAGCCUGACAUACAAUAGAUGCCUACUCAUGCGUUCCUGCAUUCAUUCACCAAGUAUUUGAGAACCUACUAGGAGCUGGGAGCUGGGGUAAAGCAGCAGAAAAGAUGAAGUCCCCUUCCUUUGGCCAGCACUUCCGUUCUUUCAGCCUGUGCUGCGAAGUUUUAACACUCAGGUGUCCAAAAGAAAGGAAAAGCUCCAGAUUUCUAACGUUCUCGGAUGUCUCUAAUCUCAAUACUCCCUCCAUGGAGAUUUCCAGACAGCCGUGUGAAGCCACCAAACACAGAGAGGAAGAGAUGCACACGCUGACUCCAGGUCUACAGGAGGGGGCAUUUGCCCCCUCUGCAUGUCACACCUCUCCCCAGCACUCUCUGCCAUAUUCCCUUGCUAAUGUGCUUGGGCUGCUUCCUAUCCUGAGUGUCCCACUCAACCAGGAUGGCUACAAGUGGGCAUCUCCCUCCUUAUUGCUAUAUUCAGACGCUUUUCCUGGAAAGCCAGCUGCUCUUCUGCUCGUUUUCAUCCCAGAUCUAAGGAGCAAUUUGGAUCCAUUCUUGGUGGGAGUCCUGCACAGGAAAGGAGCUGUUUGCUGACUCCUGGGUUCCAGGGCACAUGGAGAGGUGAGGAGAGGGAAGCUGCCUCCUCUCCAGUCCCUGUACAGACGGCCACACCUCUGCACUAUUUUAAGCACCUAUUUAUCCGGAGGGGCUCAGGGAACAGAUCUCCACAGCUGUCACUGCGGCCAGGGCACACUUAGGGCUCCACCUCCCGCUGAACUGCUCAGAACACUCAGUUGCAAGGGUGCCCCCGCCUGUGCCUCUUCGAGCCUGGGGUCAUGAGAAGCCCCUAGCCCUCACUGUCUUGAGGAUGGGUACGGGUGUUGCUCUGUGCUGGAAACCUGGGGGCCCAGAAUGAAGGAGAGACCAACCGGUGAACAGGACGCUGCUGGGUGUUGAAGACCUGCCAGUUCCUGCUUCUGUGGGCUUGGACUUUCACUCAGUCUCCCCGAGUCUCAGUUUCCCCUUCUGUAAAGUGGAAAUAAUAAAUCUGUCUCUUUUAGCACCGG